rnacentral:lncRNA from 1 species
GCAAUAUAGGCUUCCCUGGAAACAAAGGUGAAGAUGGAAAAGUUGGUGUUUCCGGAGAUGUUGGCCUUCCUGGAGCUCCAGGAUUUCCAGGAGUUGCCGGCAUGAGAGGAGAACCAGGACUUCCAGGUUCUUCUGGUCACCAAGGGGCAAUUGGGCCUCUAGGAUCCCCCGGAUUAAUAGGACCCAAAGAUUUUUACCCUGGGGAUAAAGAAAAAUAUUUCAAAGGUUCGCCAAACC